GCAUGGGUUCAGGAUGGUAGGUCGCAUCCCUGCAAGCAGCCUGUCCACAUCCUCAGACUGCAACAACUGAAACUGAUCCAUCACAACAUGACCAGAUGGCCCUCCAGACAACAGUCCAAACUUCACCAGCCAUUUUAACAAGCAAGAAGUCUCCUAGGACAAGUUUCCUUUUCUACAGACAGGACUGGAAAGCCAGCAGAACCAGCAUGCCCUGUCACCUUCCCUUUCCCCUCUUCCAGGGGUGACACUGCAAAGAAGGAACAGGUUGGCUGGCUGGCAAGCGGAGAUAUUGUCGUGCCAGGAAAGAACAACUGAUGGUCAGAAUGGAGGAAAUUUAAAAUGCCCAAUAAGUCUAUUAACUGACCAUACCUUUAGGCCAAAAGCUAUCAUACAUUUUCCCCAUGAUCUGCCCCUUAUCCACAUAGCUUGAAUGGAAACAACUUUUGACACAC